CGAAGAAGAGCAACAUGCUAGAAACAGCUGUGAAUACACAGAUAGGGUAGCUAGCUUAAAGUGUUUGACACUAACUGUGUCUUAUCUGUAAAAAAAAAAAAAUAUAUAAAUGUAAUGUUUGUGGUUUUAGUCGGCGGAAGCCUAGAAGAGUAUAAGUGACAUGCUGGUGUAACUGAGCAACAAAGUUUCUGCGUAGAACGGCUAAUUAUACUUAGCCGUUAGCUUAUUAGCCUGCCAGUCAUCUAGCUAGCUGAAACGUAGCUAGCUGUCACACCGGGCUGUUUUGUUCUUUGUAGAAGUGUCCGUCUCUUUUUUAACACAUGAGUGUGUCUUUGGUCGUUAUCCGUCUGGAAUUAGCCGACCAGUCUCCUUCUCCACAAGGUUUCCAGUACUGUGCAGUGGAAGACAUGUCAGAUGAGGAGCUGCAGGAGAAAGCUCUGGGUGUAGCCAAACACACUCUGAGUGGAAAGACGGAUCUGGAGAGAGCUACUGUCCUGCACCAGCACAUUGGCAGCAGAGCCAUGGGGGACAUGGUGAUAGAAACGUUUGAGCCCAGCCCAGAUAAAGGAGGAGGUGAAGACCCGGAGCAGAGCACAGAACCUCAGGCAGCAAAGACUGAAGCAGACGGUCCGGGCGGUACCGAGGGCUCACCGGACAGCGGUGAGGCGAAAGGUGCUGCUCCUGACUCGCCCUCCAAGCAGCUGCCGGAGCAGAUCUCCUUCUUCAGUGGGAACCCUUCAGUGGAGAUCAUCCACGGCAUCAUGCACCUCUACAAGACCAACAAAAUGACGUCACUGACUGAAGACGUGCGACGCAGCGCGAUGGUUUGCAUCCUGACGGUCCCAGCGACCAUGACCAGCCACGACCUCAUGAAGCUACUGGCACCAUUUAAUGACGUCAUGGAGCACAUGAAGAUCAUACGGGACUCGACCCCGAACCAGUACAUGGUUCUGAUUAAGUUCUGUACACAGGCAGACGCAGACAGUUUUUACACGGCGUGUAACGGCCGCCAGUUCAACUCCAUAGAGGAGGCGGUGUGCCAGCUGGUCUACGUCGAGCGGGCCGAGGUUAUUAAGUCUGAAGAGGGAGCCAGUCUGCCGGUGAUGGAGCUGACCGAGCUGCCAAAGUGCACCGUGUGCCUGGAGAGGAUGGAUGAGUCAGUUAACGGCAUCCUCACUACUCUCUGCAACCACAGCUUCCACAGCCAGUGUCUCCAGCGGUGGGAAGACGCCUCGUGUCCUGUGUGUCGGUACUGUCAAACACCAGAACCGGUGGAGGAGAACAAGUGCUUUGAGUGCGGCGUGCAGGAGAACCUGUGGAUUUGUUUGAUCUGCGGCCACAUCGGUUGUGGUCGCUACGUUAGCCGGCAUGCCUACAAGCACUUUGAGGAAACACAGCAUACGUACGCUAUGCAGCUCACCAACCACCGAGUCUGGGACUACGCAGGAGAUAACUACGUUCAUCGGCUGGUGGCCAGUAAGACGGACGGGAAGAUGGUGCAGUACGAGUGUGAGGGAGACACCUGCCACGCCGAGAAGAUCGACGCACUUCAACUAGAGUACUCGUACCUGCUGACGAGUCAGCUGGAGUCUCAAAGGAUUUACUGGGAGAACAAGAUCGUCCACCUGGAGAAGGAGACGGCCGAGGAGAUAAACAACAUGAAGGCCAAGUUUAAGGAGACUCUGGAGCGCUGUGAUAAUCUGGAGCGACGCUUCGGAGACAUGAGCAAAGAGAAGCAGGCCAUGGAGAAGAAGUGCGCUCAGCUGAGCAGUCGAGUGGUGAAGCUGAGCCAGGAGCUGAAGGAGGAGCAGGAGAUGAACCGCUGCCUGAGAGCCAAUCAGGCUCAGCUGCAGUCUCAGCUGGCCGAGGAGGAGCGCAGAGGAAAAGAGAGCGGCGAUCUGAAGGACGUGGCGAUCGGAGAGCUGCAGGAGCAGCUGAGAGACGUCAUGUUUUAUCUGGAGACGCAGCAGCAGAUCGAACACCUUCCUCCGGAGGCUCGCAGUGAGAUCCAGGAGGGACAGAUCAACAUCGGAGCCAGCCCGUCAGACGGGGCUCUGGGCUCGGCAGGAGCCGGCCCCUCCUCGAGCCGGGGCAGGAGAGGCCGGGGCAGGAAGAGGAAGCUUAUUUCUAGAUAGUGAGAGACACUUCUGUCAGGACGAGGUGGAGGUGAAACGCUGCAUCGUCAUGUUGCUCUGUCUUGAGAGGUGUUGGCAAGUUAGAGACCUCUGACAGGAAGCUGCCAGGGAGGAACAGGAAGUGUCUUCACCCUCCAUCAGCGAGGACCUGAAAUAAUUCUCCCACCACGAGCGAGCGAGCCACGAGGAGGUGAAGCGCCCGCCGAGGUCGUGUUUUCAUUUUUCUGACCUUCGCAUGUUGAAGAUGUGAACCUGCAGACGUCCGUCCUGUGUACAAAGCAACCAAUCACAACACAUCGUAUUGUGAAAACACCCGAGUGAUCUAUGACCUGACAGGUAACGACCCUGGAGCACGAUGUCAGCAUGUAGGACGUGUCGAGGCGGAUUCACUCGCUCCUCUCAAGUAUUUAUAUUUUAGGGGAUUGUUGGAGCCUAAACUUCCAGAUUUAAAGGCGGCUUGUCUGAAAAAAAGUAUUGUUUUGAGACUUUUCCUUCCUUUUUUCUAUUAAACCGCAGGAGCAAGUGAAAACUACCAAAAUAGUUGCAGUAGAUUUUUACAUUAUCGGUGGAAUUGUAGCUGAUGCAUGGAGCCCAGCAUAUGAAGGCAAAUAGACUUCCAGAGACCCUCAACAUUUGGACAAAGCUGAUUAAUAAGUGUUAAAAUGUUGAACUAUUCCUUUAACAAAAGAGGAGCGUCAGCAGAGAGCAGCGGUCACGUAACCUGUUUGUCUCAGCGUGUCACGACACAAGCCUGUGUGUGUGUUACUGUCAGGGCUGCAAAUAAAGAUAAUAAUCAUCACUGAUUAAAGGUUAUCUGUAGCCGCUAGUUUAGCUUUUAGUUUGACGUAGCUGCUGUUGCUCUCUGUUAGCGGCGCUGAGACGAGACGCUGGAGAACGAGCAUCAGGUCACGCGUCCUUAAGACUGCCGCAAAAAGUCCUUCACAAAGAAAUCCAGAGAGAAAUCCACAGUCCAGCAGCGUGUAAAAGAAAUACCAAUAAGAGUGUUAAUGUUUGAAGUACUAUCAGUUGUUACAUCGAGCCUCUUUAGUCUGUUUAUUAUUUUCACGAUGAAGCAUUCGGUCUCAGAAGUGUCACAGAUUUGCUUCUUUUGUCCAAAACCCAAAGUUUUUCAUGUA